UCCGGAGGGGGCAAUCGUUGUCCGGAAUUAUUGGGUGUAAAGAGAGCGUAGGCGGCUUUUUAAGUCAUGGGUGAAAGCCUGGGGCUCAACCGUGGAACUGCCUGUGAUACUGAGAAGCUUGAGUGCGGAUGAGGUAAGUGGAAUUGCUGGUGUAGAGGUGAAAUUCAUAGAUACCCCGAAGAACACCGGUUGCGUAGGCAAGUUACUAAACCGCAACUGACGCUGAGGCACGAAAGCGUGGGGAGAAAACAGG
rnacentral:rRNA from 1 species